AGCGAACGCUGGCGGCAGGCCUAACACAUGCAAGUCGAGCGGCCGUAGCAAUACGGCAGCGGCAGACGGGAGAGUAACACGUGGGAACGUACCCUUUGGUUCGGAACAACCCAGGGAAACUUGGGCUAAUACCGGAUAAGUCCGUAAGGAGAAAGAUUUAUCGCCAAAGGAUCGGCCCGCGUCUGAUUAGCUAGUUGGUGAGGUAAUGGCUCACCAAGGCGACGAUCAGUAGCUGGUCUGAGAGGAUGAUCAGCCUCACUGGGACUGAGACACGGCCCAGACUCCUACGGGAGGCAGCAGUGGGGAAUAUUGGACAAUGGGCGCAAGCCUGAUCCAGCCAUGCCGCGUGGAUGAUGAAGGCCCUAGGGUUGUAAAGUCCUUUCGGCGGGGAAGAUAAUGACGGUACCCGCAGAAGAAGCCCCGGCUAACUUCGUGCCAGCCGCCGCAGUAA
rnacentral:rRNA from 1 species